UACGAAGGGGGCUAGCGUUGCUCGGAAUCACUGGGCGUAAAGGGUGCGUAGGCGGGUCUUUAAGUCAGGGGGGAAAUCCUGGAGCUCAACUCCAGAACUGCCUUUGAUACUGAAGAUCUUGAGUUCGGGAGAGGUGGGUGGAACUGCGAGUGUAGAGGUGAAAUUCGUAGAUAUUCGCAAGAACACCAGUGGCGAAGGCGGCUCACUGGCCCGAUACUGACGCUGAGGCACGAAAGCGUGGGGAGCAAACAGG
rnacentral:rRNA from 1 species